CAGUGCACUCACAUUGUGUGGAGACUUUUCAAUGAGCAUAAGGCAGCAAGUAAAAAAGAGGUGAGAACACAAGUAAAGGAAACCUCCUGACUUGCCCAUCAGCAGGAUCACAGAGCAGAGCAUGGAAACCAGGUCAGAACCAGCUCCCAGGUCAAUUGGGGACGCUAAAGCUGUGGUGCCAGAACCCUGUGAGGUUUGCACUCCCAGAUGUGCCAAACGUUAAUAAAGCUGGGCCUGCAGGUCAUUCCAGACUACUCUAAAUCAGGAACCAAAGGGAAACUGAGCAGAAGGAUCCAAGCUAAGCUUUCUUGUGACUUUUGUAACUUGGGUGUAAAACCUUGGUUCUUGGAAACUCUCACAACAGAAGGUUUCUGCACAGAAAGUAAUCCAGAGGAUUACAGUGGUAGAGAAGCAGUGCCCUGCCUGAUUUUGGUGAUGCAACAGGCGCCGGUGAAGAUAACAUUGCUUUGGUAGAGAGCUGAUUUUCAAAUAUUACCUACAGGACAAAUCCUAUUGAAGAGGCUAAAUUUUCCCAGACAGCUGGUAAGUAAUCUUUUAUCAUUUCCAUCUUGAUCUUUGCUGCCUGAAGAAAGAACAUUUCAUCUGGUGU
rnacentral:lncRNA from 1 species